rnacentral:rRNA from 1 species
GUGGGGAAUAUUGGGCAAUGGAGGCAACUCUGACCCAGCAAUGCCGCGUGAGUGAAGAAGGUUUUCGGAUUGUAAAGCUCUUUAAGUGGGGACGAAGAAAGUGACUGUACCCACAGAAUAAGCAUCGGCUAACUACGUGCCAGCAGCCGCGGUAAUACGUAGGAUGCAAGCGUUAUCCGGAAUGACUGGGCGUAAAGGGUGCGUAGGCGGUUUAGCAAGUUGGUAGCGUAAUUCCGGGGCUUAACUCCGGGACUACUACCAAAACUGCUGGGCUUGAGUGCGGCAGGGGUAUGUGGAAUUCCUAGUGUAGCGGUGGAAUGCGUAGAUAUUAGGAGGAACACCAGAGGCGAAGGCGACAUACUGGGCCGUAACUGACGCUGAGGCACGAAAGCGUGGGGAGCAAACAGGAUUAGAAACCCGUGUAGUCC